CUAGUGAUUAGAGUUUGAUCAUGGCUCAGAUUGAACGCUGGCGGCAUGCCUUACACAUGCAAGUCGAACGGCAGCAUGAUCUAGCUUGCUAGAUUGAUGGCGAGUGGCGAACGGGUGAGUAAUACAUCGGAACGUGCCCUGUAGUGGGGGAUAACUAGUCGAAAGAUUAGCUAAUACCGCAUACGACCUGAGGGUGAAAGUGGGGGACCGCAAGGCCUCAUGCUAUAGGAGCGGCCGAUGUCUGAUUAGCUAGUUGGUGGGGUAAAGGCCCACCAAGGCGACGAUCAGUAGCUGGUCUGAGAGGACGAUCAGCCACACUGGGACUGAGACACGGCCCAGACUCCUACGGGAGGCAGCAGUGGGGAAUUUUGGACAAUGGGGGCAACCCUGAUCCAGCAAUGCCGCGUGUGUGAAGAAGGCCUUCGGGUUGUAAAGCACUUUUGUCCGGAAAGAAAUCGCACUUACUAAUAUUAGGUGUGGAUGACGGUACCGGAAGAAUAAGGACCGGCUAACUACGUGCCAGCAGCCGCGGUAAUACGUAGGGUCCAAGCGUUAAUCGGAAUUACUGGGCGUAAAGCGUGCGCAGGCGGUUGUGCAAGACCGAUGUGAAAUCCCCGGGCUUAACCUGGGAAUUGCAUUGGUGACUGCACGGCUAGAGUGUGUCAGAGGGGGGUAGAAUUCCACGUGUAGCAGUGAAAUGCGUAGAGAUGUGGAGGAAUACCGAUGGCGAAGGCAGCCCCCUGGGAUAACACUGACGCUCAUGCACGAAAGCGUGGGGAGCAAACAGGAUUAGAUACCCUGGUAGUCCACGCCCUAAACGAUGUCAACUAGUUGUUGGGGAUUCAUUUCCUUAGUAACGUAGCUAACGCGUGAAGUUGACCGCCUGGGGAGUACGGUCGCA
rnacentral:rRNA from 1 species